GUUGGGUUAGGGUUAGGGUAUAGGGUAAGGCUUAGGGUUAGGGUUAGGUUAGGGUUAGGGUUUGUGUUAGGGUUAGGGUUGUGUUAAUUUUAGUGGUCAGGGUAGGGUUAGUGUUAGGGUAAUUUAGGGUAAGGGUAAGGGUUCGGUUUCCGGUUAAGGUAGGGUUAGGGUUUGGUUUUGGCGUUAGGGUAAGGGUUAGGGUUAGGUAUAGGGUUAGGGUUAGGGUUAGGGUUAGUGUUAUGGUUAGGGUUAGGGUUAGGGUUAGGGUAAGGGUAGGGUUAGGGUUUGGUUUUGGGUUAGGGUUAGGUUUAGGGUUAAGGCUUAGUGUUAUUGUUAGGGGUAGGGUUAGGGUUAGGGUUUGGGUUAGGGUUAGGGUUACGAUUAGGCUCAUUAGGGUUAGGGUUAGGGUUUGGGUUAGGCACAUUACGGUUAGGGUUAGGCACAUUACAGUUAGGGUUAGGGUUAUGGUUAGGGUUAGAGUAGGGUUAGGGUUAGGGUUAGGGUUAGUGUUAGGGUUAGGGUUAGGGUUAGGGUUAGGGUUAGGGUUAGGGUUUGGGUUAGGGUUAGGGUUAGGGUUAGGGUUAGGUUUAGGGUUAGGGUUAGGGUUAGGUUUAGGAUUAGGGAUAAGGUUAGGGUUAGGGUUUAGGGUUAGAGUAAGGGAAAGGGUUAUUGUUAUUUUUAGGUUAGGUUUGGGGUUACUGUUAGGGUUAGGGUAAUUUUUAGGGAUAGGUUUAGGUUUAGGGUUAGUGUUUGUUUUAGAUGCAGGGUUAUUGUAAGGGAUAGCGUAAGGGUUAAGCAAGGGUUAGGGUUUGGGUUCGGUUUAGGGUUAGGUUUAGAUUUAGAAUUAGGGUAAUGGUUAGGGUUCGGAAUAGGGUUAGGGUUAUUGUUAGGUAAGGUUUAGGUUUAAGGUCAGGAUUAGAGUUAGGGUUUGGUUUAGAUUUAGGUUUAGGGUUACGGUUAGGUUUUGGGUUAGGGUUUGGGUUUAGGGUUAGGCUUAGGGUUAGGGUUCGGGUUCAGUUUAGGGUUGGGGUUAGGUUUAGGGUUAGGGUUAGGGUUAGUGUUAGUGUUAGGGUUAGGGUUAGGGAUAGGGAUAGAAAUAGGGAUAGGUUUUGGGUUUGGUUAGGGUUAGGAUUAAGGUUAGGGUUAGGUUUAGGGUUUGAUUUAGGAUUAAGGUUAUCGUUAUGGCUUGAGUUAGGUUUAGGGUUUGGGUUAUUGUUAGAUUUAGGGUUAGGGUAACGGUUAAGUUAGGGUUAUGUUUAGGUUUUCUUUUAGGGUUAGGGGUACAGUCAGGGUUUGGAUUAGGGCUAAAGUAAGGGUUAGGUUUCUGGUAACGGUUAAGUUAUGGUUAGGGUUAGUGUUAGGGUUAAAUUAGGGCUAGGGUUAGAUUUUGUGUAAGGGUUAGGUUUACGGUUUUGGUUAAGAUUAGGGUUAAACAAAGGGUUAGGUUUAGGGUAACGGUUAAGUUAAGGUUAGCGUUAGGUUUUUUGGUAGUUUUAGGGUUACGGUUAGGCUUCAUGCUUAGGUUUAGGGUAAUGUUUAAGGUUAGUCUUAGUUUUAGUGUUACGGUUAGAAUUAGGGGUGCGUAUAGUGUUAAGAUUAGGUUUAAGUUAAGGGUUAGGUUUAGUUUUAGGGUUAGAGUUAGAGUUAAGUUAGGGUUAGGGUUAGGUUUGGGUUUUGUGUUUGGUUUUGGGUUAGGGUUGGGAUUAGGGUUUGGGUUAGGGUUAACUGUAGGAUUAGGGUUAGGGUUUGUUUUAUAUUUAAUGUUUCUGUUAGGUUAAGGGUUAAGUUAGUGUUUGGUUUAGGGUUAGGUUUAGAUUUAGGUUUUGUGUUGAGUUAGGGUUAGGGUUAGAGUUAGGGUUAGUGUUUGCGUUAGGAUUAAGGUUAGGGUUUUGUUUAGGGUUAGGGUUAAGAUCAGGUUUCGGGUUAGUUUUAGGAUUAAGUUUAGGUUAGGGUUUGGGUUAUGUUUGGGGUUAGUGUUAUGGUUAGGACUAUGGUUAUUGCAAGGGUUAAGAUAGGGUUUGUAUUAAGGUUUUUUUUUCGGUUAUUGUUGAGUUAUGCUUAGGGUUAGGGUUAGUGUUAUGUUAGGGUUAGGGUUAUAGGCCUAUUUUGGGUUAUGUAGAACAGAAUAAAAUUGAUCUAGCAGGUCUAGUCCAACUAGAUUAUAGAAAAUGGGGAAAUUGUAGAGUGUGAACUGGAGCCUGCAGUUACAGUGAGGAGGGCCUUUCAGCUAGAAACAGGAAAGUAGCUUCACAAAGUAGAAAUAAGAGGAAAUAGAGUUUGUUUCGGGAGAGGGUGUUAGGAAAAAGAAAAGAUUCCAAGCACUUUCAGACACUAGGUGUGGAAUAACAAGGAGAACGAAGUCCAUAAAGACAAUGUCUGGAGAGCAGCUGGAAAACAUUUUGCAGAGAGGUGAUUAGAUGCCUACAGGGCAAGCUGAAACAGAUUCAGGGGAUGCCCCCACUUUGGGUUCAGAAGUUUGCAGCGAGGAAGACUAUGAGCCUUCGCGAGGAAGAGGCGAGGCGGUGUGAGGCCAGGGUGAGCCGAGGCCAGGCAAGACAAGGCCAGGAAAUGCCAG
ensembl:lncRNA